rnacentral:rRNA from 1 species
GACGAACGCUGGCGGCGUGCCUAAUACAUGCAGGUUGAGCGCUGAAGGUUGGUACUUGUACCAACUGGAUGAGCAGCGAACGGGUGAGUAACGCGUGGGGAAUCUGCCUUUGAGCGGGGGACAACAUUUGGAAACGAAUGCUAAUACCGCAUAAAAACUUUAAACACAAGUUUUAAGUUUGAAAGAUGCAAUUGCAUCACUCAAAGAUGAUCUCGCGUUGUAUUAGCUAGUUGGUGAGGUAAAGGCUCACCAAGGCGAUGAUACAUAGCCGACCUGAGAGGGUGAUCGGCCACAUUGGGACUGAGACACGGCCCAAACUCCUACGGGAGGCAGCAGUAGGGAAUCUUCGGCAAUGGACGAAAGUCUGACCGAGCAACGCCGCGUGAGUGAAGAAGGUUUUCGGAUCGUAAAACUCUGUUGGUAGAGAAGAACGUUGGUGAGAGUGGAAAGCUCAUCAAGUGACGGUAACUACCCAGAAAGGGACGGCUAACUACGUG